rnacentral:SRP_RNA from 1 species
GCUGGGCAUGGUGGUGCAUGCCUGUAAUCCCAGCUACUCGGGAGGCUGAGGCAGGAGAAUCGCUCGAACCCAGGAGGCAGAGGUUGCAGUGAGCCAAGAUCGCACUACUGCACUCUAGCCUGGGCAACAGAGCGAGACUCCGUCUCAA